GGGGUAACCCCGGGAAACUGGGGCUAAUUCCCCAUAGGCCUGAGGUACUGGAAGGUCCUCAGGCCGAAAGGGACUUAUGUCCGCCCGAGGAUGGGCCGGCGGCCGAUUAGGUAGUUGGUGGGGUAAUGGCCCACCAAGCCGAAGAUCGGUACGGGCUGUGAGAGCAGGAGCCCGGAGAUGGACACUGAGACACGGGUCCAGGCCCUACGGGGCGCAGCAGGCGCGAAACCUCCGCAAUGCGGGAAACCGCGACGGGGGGACCCCGAGUGCCGUGGCAACGCCACGGCUUUUCCGGAGUGUAAAAAGCUCCGGGAAUAAGGGCUGGGCAAGGCCGGUGGCAGCCGCCGCGGUAAUACCGGCGGCCCGAGUGGUGGCCGCUAUUAUUGGGCCUAAAGCGUCCGUAGCCGGGCCCGUAAGUCCCUGGCGAAAUCCCACGGCUCAACCGUGGGGCUUGCUGGGGAUACUGCGGGUCUUGGGACCGGGAGAGGCGGGGGGUACCCCUGGGGUAGGGGUGAAAUCCUAUAAUCCCAGGGGGACCGCCAGUGGCGAAGGCGCCCCGCUGGAACGGGUCCGACGGUGAGGGACGAAGGCCAGGGGAGCAAACCGGAUUAGAUACCCGGGUAGUCCUGGCUGUAAAGGAUGCGGGCUAGGUGUCGGGUGAGCCUCGAGCUCGCCCGGUGCCGUAGGGAAGCCGUUAAGCCCGCCGCCUGGGGAGUACGGCCGCAAGGCUGAAACU
rnacentral:rRNA from 1 species